rnacentral:tRNA from 2 species
GGUUCUGUAGUGGAAAUAUAAGAUAUCAGACUGCAAUUCUGAAGAUGCGUGUUACGCCAGGGCUU